UUGAAUAAAAUCGACUGGGUUGUUGCUGGCUUUUAGGAGCAUGUGCACACUCGGUAUCAUUUUAUUAACCACUUGUGCACUUUAUGUAGACCUUUGAGUUCUCGAGGAAACUCGGAUUGAGGACGUGCUUAGGCUGUCCUUGUGCGCUCUGGGUCUAUGAUUUCACAUACACUACGAAUGUAACAGAAUGUUGACAUAUUGGCCUUGUGCCUUUAAUACAAUA
rnacentral:misc_RNA from 1 species